rnacentral:rRNA from 1 species
GACGAACGCUGGCGGCGUGCUUAACACACGCAAGUCGAGCGGUAAGGCCCUUUCGGGGGUACACGAGCGGCGAACGGGUGAGUAACACGUGGGUGACCUGCCCUCAGCUCUGGGAUAAGCCUGGGAAACCGGGUCUAAUACCGGAUAUGACUCCAUGACGCAUGUUGUGGGGUGGAAAGCCUUGUGCGGCUGAGGAUGGGCCCGCGGCCUAUCAGCUUGUUGGUGGGGUGAUGGCCACCAAGGCGACGACGGGUAGCCGGCCUGAGAGGGCGACCGGCCACACUGGGACUGAGACACGGCCCAGACUCCUACGGGAGGCAGCAGUGGGGAAGUCUUGCGCAAUGGGCGGAAAGCCUGACGCAGCGACGCCGCGUGAGGGAUGACGGCC